UACGUAGGGUGCGAGCGUUAAUCGGAAUUACUGGGCGUAAAGCGUGCGCAGGCGGUUUUGUAAGCCAGAUGUGAAAUCCCCGGGCUUAACCUGGGAAUGGCAUUUGGGACUGCAAGGCUGGAGUGUGGCAGAGGAGACUGGAAUUCCUGGUGUAGCAGUGAAAUGCGUAGAUAUCAGGAGGAACACCGGUGGCGAAGGCGGGUCUCUGGGCCGAUACUGACGCUGAGGAGCGAAAGCGUGGGGAGCGAACAGG
rnacentral:rRNA from 1 species